UAAGGAAUAUUGGUCAAUGGACGCAAGUCUGAACCAGCCAUGCCGCGUGAAGGAUGAAGGUCCUCUGGAUUGUAAACUUCUUUUAUCUGGGACGAAAACGGGAUUUUUAUCUCAAUUGACGGUACCAGAGGAAUAAGCCCCGGCUAACUCCGUGCCAGCAGCCGCGGUAAUCCGGAGGGUGCGCGCGUUAUCCGGAUUUACUGGGUUUAAAGGGUGCGUAGGUGGGCUUAUAAGUCAGUGGUGAAAUCUCCGAGCUUAACUUGGAAACUGCCGUUGNUACUAUAGGUCCUGAAUGAUCGGGAAGUAAGCGGAAUAUGGCAUGUAGCGGUGAAAUGCUUAGAGAUGACAUAGAACACCAAUUGCGAAGGCAGCUUACUACAUAUAAAUGGACGC
rnacentral:rRNA from 1 species